GGAUUUGGAUCUGCACCAUCUUCUGUAACCUGGAAUCCAAAACCAAGACGUGUUAGAAGAUGAGUUGGAAAAGUAGUUAUUGCACGCUUACACGACUACUUUCGAAUUGCUAGUCUUAACCACCAGGCAGAUCAAAAGCAGCAGCUGAUGUAAGUUUGCAGUGGGAGAGUUUGGAGGAAGAGAGAUAUCUCUCAUCAUUCCUACGCAGAUCGUAAGUCCAGAAGGUUGGGUUCAGCUACUCAGGUUUCCUGCACAUUCCCAUGGACCUACUUCAGAAUCUCCUGGAGCAACACUUGGAGGCCAGGUUAAAUUACAGUGCCUUUCAUCCCUCAUUUCUAGAAGCCACAACACACAAACACAAGAUGUCUGGCUUUUGUAAGUGUUUCAAGAAAAUCCCCACUGAGAUUUAAGCAUAUUCAGCACAGAAAUUCUUAAAGAAUUAAUGCAGUUUUGAAAAGUGUGUUAAAUAUUGAUCCUUAUUUCAACCUACCAGAAGCUAGGACAGUAACUUUAUUUGAAAGCUAUGCCUAGGUGCUUUGACUUAAAAAAAGAAAUUCUAGAGAUGAGAUUAUGAAAAUGGAAAACUGGAAACUUCUCAGAAUUAAUUCUAUACAAGCAAGUUUGAGGGCAUUCUGCAAACUCAGUGAUUAGAUUGGAAGAUAUUAGCUUCAUACUAAAAACUGCAUGUCACAGGAAUUUAAAUGUUAAUGCUUAUUAAAAUAUA